rnacentral:rRNA from 1 species
CUGGGCUCGAACGGCUUCCCAACGACUGUGGAAACAUGGUUAUCCCGCAAGGGAGUGGAGUCGAGGUGCUGCAUGGCUGUCGUCAGCUCGUGUCGUGAGAUGUUGGGUUAAGUCCCGCAACGAGCGCAACCCUUGUCCUGUGUUGCCAUUCCGCAAGGAGGCACUCUCAGGAGACCGCCAGCGAUAAGUUGGAGGAAGGUGGGGAUGACGUCAAGUCAUCAUGGCCUUUAUGUCCAGGGCUACACACGUGCUACAAUGGGCGGUACAAACCGACGCCAACCCGCGAGGGGGAGCAAAUCGGAAAAAACCGCUCUCAGUUCGGAUCGCAGGCUGCAACUCGCCUGCGUGAAGCUGGAAUCGCUAGUAAUGGUAUAUCAGAACGAUACCGUGAAUA